rnacentral:lncRNA from 1 species
GUGUGUGUGUGCGUGAGAGAGAGAGAGAGAGAGAGAGAGAGAGAGAGAGAGAGAGAGAGAGAGAGAGAGAGAGAGAGAGAGAGAGAAUAUAGAUGAAUAUUUUAAUGUUGUUGAGGAGAGGUAGUGAAAGGUAUGCUGCCGGGGAAGAGAGAGAAACAGCAGUUUAUGUUGUUGGUGAAGAAACAGAGAGAAAUUAUGGUUAUGGAGAUUCGAGCUUCCGCCAUUGCUAGAAAAAGAGAUUUCUCUGUGCUUUUUCUUUUCCUACUCUUCUUUCUCAUCCUCUUCAUCCUUUAAAUUAUUUUCCUUACCCAAACUCCAUAACUGAAACAAACCCACCAUUCUUUUUCAUCUGGGUUCUAAAUUUCAGGAGCUUUCUUGAUUUUAACCUUGUUGCUGGUGGAAUUUUUUUUUUUUUUCAUUUUUAAUUGAUUUGGGUUUUACUGUUUGAUUAUAGGGAAACUAAUUUGAUCUAGGUUUUCUGGGUUUUUGGAUGUGAACUCUGGAUCUCGUGUUGCGUUUGUGAGAGAAAGAACCAAUCUUGGAUUGACCUAAUUUUUAGGGGUUUUUAAUUUGGAAGGGUGUUUUUUUUAAUUGUUUCAAGAAUUUAGAACAACCCUUUUUACUGUUUGCUGUUGUGUGAUUGAUUAUUCAUUCCAAUCUUCCCAUCAUUGAUUAUUCAACAUUGGGGGUGUAAUUGUAAAUAUCGUCUGGAU